rnacentral:rRNA from 1 species
UACGGAGGAUCCAAGCGUUAUCCGGAUUCAUUGGGUUUAAAGGGUGCGUAGGCGGAAUGAUAAGUCAGUGGUGAAAGCCUGCAGCUUAACUGCAGAACUGCCAUUGAUACUGUCAAUCUUGAGUACAUUUGAUGUGGGCGGAAUGUGUCAUGUAGCGGUGAAAUGCUUAGAUAUGACACAGAACACCGAUUGCGAAAGGCAGC